rnacentral:lncRNA from 1 species
UGGUGAAAGCCUUUUUGAGUUAUUGUCCGAAGUGUUGAAAAUCCCCCCUUUUUUAUGAAUAAAGCCCCAUAAAUCCAAAACUUAAAAUCUGAAAUUAAAAAAAAAAAAAAAAAACGAAAGGGAGCUUACGUCAAUAGAUAUAAACAAUUCACUUAAGUUUCAUGGACAUUGGUGAAAGCCUUUUUGAGUUUUUGUCCGAAGUGUUGAAAAUCCCCCUUUUUUUAUGAAUAAAGCCCCAUAAAUCCAAAACUUAAAAUCUGGAAUUAAAAAAAAACGAAAUGGAGCUUACGUCAAUAGAUAUAAACAAUUCACUUAAGUUUCAUGGAAAUUGGUGAAAGUGUUUUUGAGUUAUUGUCCGAAGUGUGGACGACGGAUGGACGGACGGGCGGACGGACGGAC